rnacentral:lncRNA from 1 species
CAUCACUGUCCUGGUAUUUAUGGACCAUUCCUCAUCCCAGGAAAUUCCUCUCUGGCCACACCCCCCGAGGCUCUGGUCACCACCCUUCACCUUCUCAGGGCUCUCCCUCCCUAGACCCUGCCCACAUCUCCCUUCUGCUCUGUUCCUGGACCCCUCGCCUUCUUUUUCUAUGGACUGCUAGAAAUGCAAGAUUCUGUCACAUCACACUAAAGUGCAGCACCAAGAAGUCCUCUCUUAUUUCACCAUCAUUCAUCCGGGCUCUGCUGGGGGAGGCACCCCAUUUUGGAAACAAAAUGUCCAUCAAGGCAUUUUUCUAGACAAUAGAACCUUCGAAUCCCUGCGAUUAAUUUUGCCGUACCUCUAGAAAGCUGAAAGUCUGCAGCCAGCUUUUCUUUAAAAUAGUCAUAACAUCCCUUCCUGCUCUGCCCUACUGACGUCAAAGCUUUUAGUGAAAUCUUUUCCUUGGUCUUCUCUCCUGCCACAGGAAAGAGAAGAGGAUGGGAGCAGAGCUGAGAUGGAUGCUAGAUAAACAGCCAGGAGUGUCCAAUUCUAAGGGUCCAAGUUAGAACCCAAGGAUGUCCCUUCUAGAAGCUUCCAGAUGAUUCAUGAACCACACUCGGAGAAUCUUGGCCCACUCCAUGCUGCAUGUAGACCCUUUCUAAAAGAAGCAAUUCCAAGUAGUGAUAAAUGGAAGAAGAGAGAAGAUCAAUUUACAGCAGGUACACAGACAGAAAUUCAGGUCCCAGCUCUCAAGAAAAAUAUUUUCAACCCCAAUUGCCAGAGCAAAGGGAUCCAUCUCAUCAUCUACUAUACCAAUAAAAAAGAAAAGCGAAGCAGAGGCCCUGGGCUGCCAUUUGGAGCCCAAAUAAUACGCAAGAUCAGGCAGCAGAGAGGCUGA